rnacentral:lncRNA from 1 species
CUUCCMAAUACAGCUUUGCUGUAGGUGUCUCAUUCUGAAAAUCAGUAUUUGUCUUUAUUGCUCUUUUAGCCCCUACUUUUGGAGCUGUAUGGAUCUUCUGCCAGCUUUUGGGUCACCUGGAAUGGUCCGGGCAUUCCCAUGUAAGCAGGAAAGAGCUACUCCUUCCAGUGUCAGACUUGCUUUCUUGUCCAGCAGGUUAGAGAAAGCUAGGGCAUAA